UACGAAGGGGGCUAGCGUUGCUCGGAAUUACUGGGCGUAAAGCGCACGUAGGCGGAUCUUUAAGUCAGGGGUGAAAUCCUGGAGCUCAACUCCAGAACUGCCUUUGAUACUGAGGACCUUGAGUUCGGGAGAGGUGAGUGGAAUUGCGAGUGUAGAGGUGAAAUUCGUAGAUAUUCGCAGGAACACCAGUGGCGAAGGCGGCUUACUGGUCCAUAACUGACGCUGAGGUGCGAAAGCGUGGGGAGCAAACAGGG
rnacentral:rRNA from 1 species